GAGUUUGAUCAUGGCUCAGGACGAACGCUGGCGGCGUGCCUAAUACAUGCAAGUCGAGCGAGCAGAACUAACAGAUCUACUUCGGUAGUGACGUUUCGGAAGCGAGCGGCGGAUGGGUGAGUAACACGUGGGUAACCUGCCCUUAAGUCUGGGAUACCACUUGGAAACAGGUGCUAAUACCGGAUAACAACAAGUGCUGCAUGGCACUUGCUUGAAAGGCGGCGUAAGCUGUCGCUAAAGGAUGGACCCGCGGUGCAUUAGCUAGUUGGUAAGGUAACGGCUUACCAAGGCAACGAUGCAUGGCCGAGUUGAGAGACUGAUCGGCCACAUUGGGACUGAGACACGGCCCAAACUCCUACGGGAGGCAGCAGUAGGGAAUCUUCCACAAUGGGCGAAAGCCUGAUGGAGCAACGCCGCGUGAGUGAAGAAGGUUUUCGGAUCGUAAAGCUCUGUUGUUGGUGAAGAAGGAUAGAGGUAGUAACUGGCCUUUAUUUGACGGUAAUCAACCAGAAAGUCACGGCUAACUACGUGCCAGCAGCCGCGGUAAUACGUAGGUGGCAAGCGUUGUCCGGAUUUAUUGGGCGUAAAGCGAGCGCAGGCGGAGAAAUAAGUCUGAUGUGAAAGCCCUCGGCUUAACCGGGGAAUUGCAUCGGAAACUGUUUUUCUUGAGUGCAGAAGAGGAGAGUGGAACUCCAUGUGUAGCGGUGGAAUGCGUAGAUAUAUGGAAGAACACCAGUGGCGAAGGCGGCUCUCUGGUCUGCAACUGACGCUGAGGCUCGAAAGCAUGGGUAGCGAACAGGAUUAGAUCCCCUGGUAGUCCAUGCCGUAAACGAUGAGUGCUAAGUAUUGGGAGGUUUCCGCCUCUCAGUGCUGCAGCUAACGCAUUAAGCACUCCGCCUGGGGAGUACGA
rnacentral:rRNA from 1 species